GGCCUGUCUGUCGCUCGCUCACACGCGAGAGGAAAGUCCGGGCUACACAGGGCUCCAUGCCGGUUAACAGCCGGUAGGCGGCGACGUUUAGGUUAACGUAACAGAAAAUAACCGCCCCGCAAGGGGUAAGGGUGAAAAGGCGAGGUAAGAGCUCACCGCACACUUGGUAACAAGGCGUGGCUGUACGUCCCAUGGGUUGUAAGAUCAUGUAUACUGGUGGUUGGUACGUGUCGGAAACGAUACUGUGUCCAUGAAGGGCGGCCCGUCCAAGCCAGGGGGUAGAUUGCUAAAGUGCGUCAGCAAUGGCGAACUCAGAUCAAUGGCAGACACCUGUCGAAAGACAGGGACGGAACCCGGCUUAUAAGCCUACUGC
rnacentral:RNase_P_RNA from 1 species